rnacentral:rRNA from 1 species
UACGAAGGGGGCUAGCGUUGCUCGGAAUCACUGGGCGUAAAGGGCGCGUAGGCGGAUCUUUAAGUCGGGGGUGAAAGCCUGUGGCUCAACCACAGAAUUGCCUUCGAUACUGGGGAUCUCGAGACCGGAAGAGGUGAGUGGAACUGCGAGUGUAAAGGUGAAAUUCGUAGAUAUUCGCAAGAACACCAGUGGCGAAGGCGGCUCACUGGUCCGGUUCUGACGCUGAGGCGCGAAAGCGUGGGGAGCAAACAGG